AAAAACGUUAAAGCACUUAAACAAACUCAUAAAAUGAAUUUAACUCUAUUCCAGCAGUCUAACAAGUUUAAAUCUUCAGUUAUUGCUAAGCAAAAUCUGCCUUACAAAGGUUCAAGGGUUACCUAUAUUGCAGAAAAUCGAAAAUACAACAUUGAAAACGAAUAGAAAAAAGCAGAAACGAGAAUGAAAACAGCAACAACCAACAGCAAAAUUUUAACUCGAUGUGAACCAGAAACUCAAGCCAAAAGCUCAACGACUUAGGAAAUGAAGAAAGAACUCAGAAACUUCAAAUUUUCAGCUUACUUUUGGAUGUUCAUCAACUGAUUUUUUCUCAAGUUUUGUGUUUUUCUGAGUGCAUUAG
rnacentral:lncRNA from 1 species